UAUUCCACAUCCCAUCGGCCUGCGAUAGUUAUAUUUACUAUAUAUCAAAGCUGAACCUGUUUGCCGUUACCACAUCGUUUUGGUAACUGUUCACGCACAAUUUGCUCCAAUCAGCCAUAGACACGUUCUGCUAUUAUUUUACGUUCCAGGUUUUUCUUUACUCCUGCGGUAUUUUUGGGCGGUGGUUUCUCGGGAAUCAUCUCGAUGGUCUACCACGUCAAAGCGGUGCUUUUCCCCUUGCAAAAAAAAAAAAAAAACGGUGCUUUCCUGAGCGAAAUAUCCUCUCUUCCCCACGAGUCUCUCCCCUCUCUCCAGUCUAGCGGCAGACACACCCUCAUCCCGUGCUUCCAUCUUGCGCGCGGUGGUGGUGUGAUCAUCCGUGCUCACGCCGGUAGUGUUGGGCUGGUUCCGGCGGCGGAGGGACGCAGGGAUGGCGGCCGCGACCGAGCCCGAGAGGCACAUCCUCCUCACGCGCCUCCAACCCGUUGCCCGAUCCGUUCCCCUCACCACGGCAUAGCCCGACGGCCCGGAGCGGCCUCGCAACCGACGGAAGACGCGGCAGAACCCUCCGUCAUGGGGCACCCCUCGAGGAGCACCUCCAGCCAGAUAUGGAGAUGUAUGGCGAGGAAUUUGACGAGGAGGGGAAAUAAGAGUCGGAUCUGUAGCGCCAUGCCUCCACACACAGCAUGGACGGAGCAGAGCCAGGAGGCGGCGAUCAUGGGAGCGCGCACGCCUCACCCUACAUGUACUUCCACGGCUACGUCAACGACUGGAUGGGACACGACCCAUCCCCUCUCGGUAACUAGCCGGUAAGCUGCUUCCGUGUCUCCCUCUGCUCUAUAUGCAGACCAGAAAAAUGCAGCGGCAGCUUCAACUGGGCGUGCACGGGAGCAGCAACAAGGAGGAAAUUGUCUUUCAGUACCUUGUGGUGUUCAUCUGAACUAGGAUUCCCUCUAGAAUUGAAGUCUGUUAUUAUGGCUUUCAGUUAAUCAAUGAAGCUAUACUUGCUAGGAGGUAGCUGACUGAGCAGUAAUAUUUAAGUUGAUAUAACCUCACAUACAAAAGUUAUUAAUAAUAGAGAUUCGUUUAAGAUAAUUUGAGGUGACCACUGCUAGCAUCGUCUAUAAUUUUCUGGUUUUGUCAAAUUAUGAUACUGAUUUUCGUACCAGAUAGUCCGAUACUUUGUAGCGACUGGGCUCCGAAAAAGAGAAGCAUCAUGCCGUACUGUGGAUUGAGGAGAUUGCAUAGUUCCGCAAGAUUUUGUGUUGCUUCAUCAAGGCACAUCAAUAUAUUCUGGCACUAACCUUUCUCUUACUCUCUGCACUUCUAUGUAAUGUGUAAUAUUUACCUUCCUUUUUCAAUCUGCGGUUUUAUGGAGUGUGUGAUCUAUUCCCCUAAAGUUGUUUGGUGCUUCUCCCCUGCGUCUCCCUCCUCCUAUAUGCAGAUCAGAAAGAAAAGAAGCAACGGUGUGCUGCUUCUACCUGCAUACAUCCUGCUAAGUCAAAGGUCAAAGGCGACUUUCUGGACAUUGACCAUUCAGCAUGGUAUUCUCCGUCAUUGAGGUGGCUCAAGCGUGCUCUUUUCUACAUGGCCAUGUCGCUUGUGAUCUGGCCCUCUGCUUCUGGUGCACAGCUGCCUACAGCCCGUGCACUUUGUGACAUCUUAUUGCGUUGAAGGUGAGGCAUUGGGUGACUUAUUCGUAUGGGCAUGGUUCGAGGUUAACAUGUUAUAUAUCCAUUCAGAACAGAGCAUGUUAUAUGCAAGAGGCCCAUGGUUUAGUUUUGUGAUGUUGACGAACUGCUACCACAAAUAACGAAAGAUAUUAAUGGAUGGUGGCAAGAAGGCUGGCAA